rnacentral:rRNA from 1 species
CCCUUAGAUGUUCUGGGCCGCACGCGCGCUACACUGAUGCAUUCAACGAGUUUCUUCCUGGUCCGAGAGGAAUGGGUAACCUUUUGAAAGUGCAUCGUGAUAGGGAUAGACUAUUGCAAUUAUUGGUCUUCAACGAGGAAUUCCUAGUAGACGUAGUUCAUCAGACUGCAUCGAUUACGUCCCUGCCCUUUGUACACACCGCCCGUCGCUCCUACCGAUUGAAUGCUCAGGUGAGCCAUUCGGACUUUCAUCAUGCUGGUUUCCAGUUUUGAUGAAGGAAAGUCUUGCGAACCUUAUCGUUUAGAGGAGGGAGAAGUCGUAACA